AACACAUGCAAGUCGAGGGGCAGCAUUUUAGUUUGCUUGCAAACUGAAGAUGGCGACCGGCGCACGGGUGAGUAACACGUAUCCAACCUGCCGAUAACUCCGGAAUAGCCUUUCGAAAGAAAGAUUAAUACCGGAUGGCAUACGAAUAUCGCAUGAUAUUUUUAUUAAAGAAUUUCGGUUAUCGAUGGGGAUGCGUUCCAUUAGUUUGUUGGCGGGGUAACGGCCCACCAAGACUACGAUGGAUAGGGGUUCUGAGGGGAAGGUCCCCCACAUUGGAACUGAGACACGGUCCAAACUCCUACGGGAGGCAGCAGUGAGGAAUAUUGGUCAAUGGGCGCGAGCCUGAACCAGCCAAGUAGCGUGAAGGAUGAAGGCUCUAUGGGUCGUAAACUUCUUUUAUAUGGGAAUAAAGUUUUCCACGUGUGGAAUUUUGUAUGUACCAUAUGAAUAAGGAUCGGCUAACUCCGUGCCAGCAGCCGCGGUAAUACGGAGGAUCCGAGCGUUAUCCGGAUUUAUUGGGUUUAAAGGGAGCGUAGGUGGAUUGUUAAGUCAGUUGUGAAAGUUUGCGGCUCAACCGUAAAAUUGCAGUUGAAACUGGCAGUCUUGAGUACAGUAGAGGUGGGCGGAAUUCGUGGUGUAGCGGUGAAAUGCUUAGAUAUCACGAAGAACUCCGAUUGCGA
rnacentral:rRNA from 1 species